rnacentral:rRNA from 1 species
CGGCGGACGGGUGAGUAACACGUGGAUAACCUACCUAUAAGACUGGGAUAACUUCGGGAAACCGGAGCUAAUACCGGAUAAUAUAUUGAACCGCAUGGUUCAAUAGUGAAAGACGGUUUUGCUGUCACUUAUAGAUGGAUCCGCGCCGCAUUAGCUAGUUGGUAAGGUAACGGCUUACCAAGGCAGCGAUGCGUGGCCGACCUUAGAGGGUGAUCGGCCACACUGGAACUGAGACACGGUCCAGACUCCUACGGGAGGCAGCAGUG